UUCCGGUUGAUCCCGCCGGACCUGACUGCUAUCGGAUUGAUACUAAGCCAUGCGAGUCAUUGUAGUAAUACAAGGCAGACGGCUCAGUAACGCGUAGUCAACCUACCCUAUGGACGGGGAUAACCUCGGGAAACUGAGAAUAAUACCCGAUAGAACAUUAUGCCUGGAAUGGUUUAUGUUUCAAAUAAUUUAUUGCCGUAGGAUGGGACUGCGGCCUAUCAGUUUGUUGGUGAGGUAAUGGCCCACCAAGACUAUUACAGGUACGGGCUCUGAGAGGAGUAGCCCGGAGAUGGGUACUGAGACACGGACCCAGGCCCUAUGGGGCGCAGCAGGCGAGAAAACUUUGCAAUGUGCGAAAGCACGACAAGGUUAAUCCGAGUGGUUUCUGCUAAAGGAACCUUUUGUCAGUCCUAGAAACACUGAUGAAUAAGGGGUGGGCAAGUUCUGGUGUCAGCCGCCGCGGUAAAACCAGCACCUCAAGUGGUCAGGAUGAUUAUUGGGCCUAAAGCAUCCGUAGCCUGCUUUGUAAGUUUUCGGUUAAAUCCAUACGCUCAACGUAUGGGCUGCCGGGAAUACUGCAAAGCUAGGGAGUGGGAGAGGUAGACGGUACUCGGUAGGAAGGGGUAAAAUCCUUUGAUCUAUUGAUGACCACCUGUGGCGAAGGCGGUCUACCAGAACACGUCCGACGGUGAGGGAUGAAAGCUGGGGGAGCAAACCGGAUUAGAUACCCGGGUAGUCCCAGCUGUAAACUAUGCAAACUCAGUGAUGCAUUGGCUUGAUGCCAAUGCAGUGCUGCAGGGAAGCCGUUAAGUUUGCCGCCUGGGAAGUACGUACGCAAGUAUGAAACUUAAAGGAAUUGGCGGGGGAGCACCACAAGGGGUGAAGCCUGCGGUUCAAUUGGAGUCAACGCCGGAAAUC
rnacentral:rRNA from 1 species